rnacentral:pre_miRNA from 1 species
AAAAAGACAAACCUUGGUUUUUGUGUCUAAUGUUUAACCGUUCGUCUUAUUUGAAAAAAUUAUAAAAAAAAUUAAAAAAACAAGUCAUGCAUAAAAUAUUGAUCAUGUUUUAUCAUCUAAUAACAAUGAAAAUACGAAUUAUAAAAAAAAUUCAUAUAAGACGGACAAUCAAAAUUAGACACGGAAACCCAUGGUUUGUCUUUUU